rnacentral:rRNA from 1 species
UACGUAGGGCGCAAGCGUUGUCCGGAAUUAUUGGGCGUAAAGAGCUCGUAGGCGGCUUGUCACGUCGGGUGUGAAAGCCCGGGGCUUAACCCCGGGUCUGCAUUCGAUACGGGCUAGCUAGAGUGUGGUAGGGGAGAUCGGAAUUCCUGGUGUAGCGGUGAAAUGCGCAGAUAUCAGGAGGAACACCGGUGGCGAAGGCGGAUCUCUGGGCCAUUACUGACGCUGAGGCGCGAAGGCCAGGGGAGCAAACGGG